rnacentral:lncRNA from 1 species
AUGCCUUCAUUCACAGACUCUAUGGAGUCACUGUUCAGUUGUGAUUGUGUGUAUGCACCACAAGCCGCAUUUUGUUUUAUUUUUCAGACCAGCCCUGUGGAACAACGUAGAGAAGUUGCAAUUCUAUGCUUAAUUGUCUGCUUCUCUGAAAAUCCUGAGAAUCUCAUCAAGCACCAUCAGGAUACUUAUGGGAAUAAGGAGUAACUGGAACUGCUCACACUUAAAAUCAUCACGGAAGGUGGCUCAACAGAUCAUCCAUUACAGAUAGUGCUAGAAGACAUAGAGGUGAUUAUGGGAUUGGCAGGUAUUGCAAAGGCUUGUGUUUUUUUGCUUGACCUAAUUUAUGCAGUUCACCGGAGUUAUCCUAAAGAUCUCAAUAUACAACGUUUGUCUGCAACUGUUUGAUUACAUUCUUGUUUUAUUCUUAGGAUGUUUGUUGCAUGUGACCUAUUGUGAAGAAUACAAUCUCUGUCUUACAAACAAAACAAAAAGAAAUAAAAAAUUAUAGUUUUAUUAGGAAUUCUUUACAAAAGUAAAUGGAAAAAUGUAAAUCCUUUAAGAAGUGUUGCAAAGGGUGAAGAAUCAAGGAAAUAACCUGUUGGAAGUGAACUUCCAUUUGUAUAUUUGUCACAUUUUGUUGUACAUUCAUGAUGUGUUGUUGUCAAAAAAAUAAACUGAAAUGCUUUAUUUUGUGUA